AACGAACGCUGGCGGCGCGCCUAACACAUGCAAGUCGAACGAGAAUCCGGGGCAACCCGGUAGUAAAGUGGCAAACGGGUGAGGAAUACAUGGGUAACCUACCCUUGAGAAGGGAAUAACCCGCCGAAAGGUGAGCUAAUACCCUAUACGCUAUCUUUUUUUCGAAAAGGAUAGGAAAGCCGGGUCGAGGACCUGGUACUCAAGGAGGGGCUCAUGUCCUAUCAGCUUGUUGGUGGGGUAACGGCCUACCAAGGCUACGACGGGUAGCUGGUCUGAGAGGAUGAUCAGCCACACUGGCACUGAGAUACGGGCCAGACUCCUACGGGAGGCAGCGGUGAGGAAUAUUGCGCAAUGGGCGAAAGCCUGACGCAGCGACGCCGCGUGGGGGAUGAAGGUUUUCGGAUUGUAAACCCCUUUCAUGAGGAAGAUAAAGUGGUAACCACUUAGACGGUACCUCAAGAAGAAGCCACGGCUAACUUCGUGCCAGCAGCCGCGGUAAAGUCUAGCA
rnacentral:rRNA from 1 species